rnacentral:rRNA from 1 species
UACGAAGGGUGCAAGCGUUACUCGGAAUUACUGGGCGUAAAGCGUGCGUAGGUGGUUUCUUAAGUCUGCUGUGAAAGCCCCGGGCUCAACCCUGGGAAUUGCAGUGGAUACUGGGGAGCUAGAGUGCGGUAGAGGGUAGUGGAAUUCCCGGUGUAGCGGUGAAAUGCGUAGAGAUCGGGAGGAACACCAGUGGCGAAGGCGGCUACCUGGACCAGCACUGACACUGAGGCACGAAAGCGUGGGGAGCAAACAGG